rnacentral:rRNA from 1 species
UUCCUACGGGAGGCAGCAGUGAGGAAUAUUGGUCAAUGGGCUUACGCCUGAACCAGCCAAGUCGCGUGAGGGAAGACUGCCCUAUGGGUUGUAAACCUCUUUUGUCAGGGAGCAAUUGGCGCUACGUGUAGCGUUAUCGAGAGUACCUGAAGAAAAAGCAUCGGCUAACUCCGUGCCAGCAGCCGCGGUAAUACGGAGGAUGCGAGCGUUAUCCGGAUUUAUUGGGUUUAAAGGGUGCGUAGGCGGGCUUUUAAGUCAGCGGUAAAAAUUCGGGGCUCAACCCCGUCCGGCCGUUGAAACUGGGG